rnacentral:rRNA from 1 species
GUCCCUACGGGGGGCAGCAGUAGGGAAUCUUCCACAAUGGACGAAAGCCUGAUGGAGCAACGCCGCGUGAGUGAAGAAGGGUUUCGGCUCGUAAAGCUCUGUUGGUAGUGAAGAAAGAUAGAGGCAGUAACUGGCCUUUAUUUGACGGUAAUUACUUAGAAAGUCACGGCUAACUACGUGCCAGCAGCCGCGGUAAUACGUAGGUGGCAAGCGGUGGCCGGAUUUCUUGGGCGUAAAGCGGGGGCAGGCGG